rnacentral:rRNA from 1 species
AUUGAACGCUGGCGGCAUGCUUUACACAUGCAAGUCGAACGGCAGCGCGGGGGCAACCCUGGCGGCGAGUGGCGAACGGGUGAGUAAUGUAUCGGAACGUAUCCUGUAAUGGGGGAUAACCAGUCGAAAGAUUGGGUAAUACCGCAUACGCACGAGAGUGGAAAGUAGGGGAUCGCAAGACCUUACGUUAUAGGAGCGGCCGAUAUCUGAUUAGCUAGUUGGUGGGGUAAAGGCCUACCAAGGCGACGAUCAGUAGCUGGUCUGAGAGGACGACCAGCCACACUGGGACUGAGACACGGCCCAGACUCCUACGGGAGGCAGCAGUGGGGAAUUUUGGACAAUGGGCGAAAGCCUGAUCCAGCCAUGCCGCGUGCAGGAAGAAGGCCUUCGGGUUGUAAACUGCUUUAGUCUAGGAAAAAGGGGUACGAGGUUAAUACCCUCUUGCUUUGAUGGUACUGGAAGAAUAAGCACCGGCUAACUACGUG